GUCAGGCCUCAACGCGUCAUACCGAGUCCUUAUCCACUCAGCCUUCUCCAAUUAGGACCUCAAAUGGUAGCACCGAUUCCUUCUCAUACACCUCCGAGGAAGGCGUUUCCCUAGUAGACGUACGCACCGAAAAUCAAUACCCAGGAUACAAGCUUCGUGCUCAGCCAUCAUUGUUGGUGCAUUCACAUGUUAUCCGGGCAACGAAAGGGAACGUGGGAUCCCCCUGGCGUAACCAAAGCACCACUGA
rnacentral:lncRNA from 1 species